GCAGGGUUGUCGCUGANCUUUCCNAAAGGUCGUGCACGCCCGAGCGCUCUCAAUCCAUUUCACCCCUUGUGCAUCACCGCGCGGGGUCGCUCCCUCUUGGCUCGCUUCGAGAGGGGGAGGCUCGCGUUUUUCACACAUAAACACCCUUCUGGUUUAGAAUGUCAUUCAUUUGCGAUCACACGCAAUCAAUACAACUUUCAACAACGGAUCUCUUGGCUCUCGCAUCGAUGAAGAACGCAGCGAAAUGCGAUACGUAAUGUGAAUUGCAGAAUUCAGUGAAUCAUCGAAUCUUUGAACGCAUCUUGCGCCCCUUGGUAUUCCGAGGGGCACACCCGUUUGAGUGUCGUGAAAUUCUCAAACCUUCUUGGUUUCUCGAUCAAGAUGGCUUUGGACUUUGGAGGCAUUUUGCUGGCUUUGCGAAAAGCCAGCUCCUCUUAAAUACAUUAGUGGGGUCCCCUUUGCCGAUCCCCAGGCGUGAUAAGAUGUUUCUACGUCUCGGGAUUUGCUCUGUUCCUUGGGAACCCGCUUAUAACCGUCUCAUGGGAGACAUCGUUCGAGCAUGCUCGACCCACGAACCUUGACCUCAAAUCGGGUGAGACUACCCGCUGAACUUAAGCAUAUCAAUAAGCGGAGGAAAAGAAACUAACAAGGAUUCCCCUAGUAACUGCGAGUGAAGCGGGAAAAGCUCAAAUUUAAAAUCUGGUGGCCUUUGGUCAUCCGAGUUGUAAUUUAGAGAAGCGUCUUCCGCGCUGGACCAUGCACAAGUCUCCUGGAAUGGAGCGUCAUAGAGGGUGAGAAUCCCGUCUUUGGCAUGNNNGCACCAGGGCUUCUGUGAUGCGCUCUCGAAGAGUCNAGUUGNUUGGGAAUGNAGCUCAAAUGGGUGGNGAACUCCAUCUAAAGCUAAAUAUUGGCGAGAGACCGAUNGCGAACNANUNCCGUGANGGAAAGAUGAAAGCACUUUNGNA
rnacentral:rRNA from 1 species